CCCAUAAAAAUAAUCUAAGUUUAGGUUCAAAAUGUCUGCCAACAUCACCAUGACAGCCAUUCAAGACACCACCAACAUCAUCGCCAUUAUUACCAUCGUCACCAUGACCCAAGCAAGUCAAUUAAAAUAGUAAUUACAAUUUAGAUACUAGUCUCACAAAUAAAUCAAAGUGCCAGCACUACUCCAACAAUCUCAAAUGCAGCCCUAGCGAAUAACAAUCCAGCCGAUACUGUUCCGACACCAUCA
rnacentral:lncRNA from 1 species